GGAGCCGGCCGGGCGGCCGCGGCUCGGAGUUCGCUCCGGGUCGAGGAAAGUCCGGACUCCACAGGGCAGGACGCUGGGGAAUAUCCCAGGCGGAGCGAUCCGCGGACAGUGCCACAGAAAACAAACCGCCCGGCCUCGGCCGGGUAAGGGUGAAACGGUGAGGUAAGAGCUCACCAGCGUCGCGGGUGACCGCGGCGGCUAGGCAAACCCCGUCCGGAGCAAGGCCAAGCAGGAGGCAUGGGUGGCCCGCCCGCCCCUCGGGGCAGCCUCCGGGUAGGCCGCACGAGGCGGACGGCGACGUCCGUCCCAGAUGGAUGGCCGCCGCCGGCCGAAGCGAGAGCGACGGCCGGUACAGGAUCCGGCUUAUAGGCCGGCUCCCGAU
rnacentral:RNase_P_RNA from 1 species